rnacentral:rRNA from 1 species
GACGAACGCUGGCGGCGUGCCUAAUACAUGCAAGUCGAGCGGAACUGGGGGAGCUUGCUCCUUCCAGUUUAGCGGCGGACGGGUGAGUAACACGUGGGCAACCUGCCCUGCAGAUCGGGAUAACUCCGGGAAACCGGUGCUAAUACCGAAUAGUUUGGCGCCUCUCCUGAGGCGCCACGGAAAGACGGUUUCGGCUGUCACUGCAGGAUGGGCCCGCGGCGCAUUAGCUAGUUGGUGGGGUAACGGCCCACCAAGGCGACGAUGCGUAGCCGACCUGAGAGGGUGAUCGGCCACACUGGGACUGAGACACGGCCCAGACUCCUACGGGAGGCAGCAGUAGGGAAUCUUCCGCAAUGGACGCAAGUCUGACGGAGCAACGCCGCGUGAGUGACGAAGGUUUUCGGAUCGUAAAACUCUGUUGUGAGGGAAGAACACGUACCAACUAACUAUUGGUACCUUGACGGUACCUCACCAGAAAGCCACGGCUAACUACGUGCCAGCCGCCGCCGUAA